rnacentral:rRNA from 1 species
AGUGAACGCUGGCGGUAGGCCUAACACAUGCAAGUCGAACGGCAGCACAGUAAGAGCUUGCUCUUACGGGUGGCGAGUGGCGGACGGGUGAGGAAUACAUCGGAAUCUACUUUUUCGUGGGGGAUAACGUAGGGAAACUUACGCUAAUACCGCAUACGACCUACGGGUGAAAGCAGGGGAUCUUCGGACCUUGCGCGAUUGAAUGAGCCGAUGUCGGAUUAGCUAGUUGGCGGGGUAAAGGCCCACCAAGGCGACGAUCCGUAGCUGGUCUGAGAGGAUGAUCAGCCACACUGGAACUGCGACACGGUCCAGACUCCUACGGGAGGCAGCAGUGGGGAAUAUUGGACAAUGGGCGCAAGCCUGAUCCAGCCAUACCGCGUGGGUGAAGAAGGCCUUCGGGUUGUAAAGCCCUUUUGUUGGGAAAGAAAAGCAGCAGGUUAAUACCCCGCUGUUCUGACGGUACCCAAAGAAUAAGCACCGGCUAACUUCGUGC